rnacentral:rRNA from 1 species
UACAUAUGAGAUUGCAUUGUUAUUAAUUAACAGGCAGAGAGUUCAGGUAGCAAAAAUAAUUCUAAAAAAGAUGGAUAGUAAAAAUUGAGUAUUUUUAGAUAGCUUGAGGACUAUAGAAGAGUAGAGUAAUAUUUGAAAGAGGGGUAAUAUCCUAACAAUUUUAAUGGAAGAACAUUUGCGACGGCAUCACUCUUUAUAUUUCCUGACACUGAGACACUAGAGUGUAGGUAGCAAAAGGG